UACGUAGGUGGCAAGCGUUGUCCGGAUUUAUUGGGUUUAAAGGGUGCGUAGGCGGUCUUAUAAGUCAGUGCUGAAAUAUCCCGGCUUAACCGGGAGGGUGGCAUUGAUACUGCAAGACUUGGGUAGAGUUGAGGUUGGCGGAAUUGACGGUGUAGCGGUGAAAUGCUUAGAUAUCGUCAAGAACACCGAUAGUGAAGACAGCUAACUAAGCUCUAACUGACGCUGAGGCACGAAAGUGUGGGGAUCAAACAGG
rnacentral:rRNA from 1 species